rnacentral:tRNA from 1 species
UUUGAUGGGUGUUUAGCAUAAAACCUUUUCGUGGUUUGGGAAAAUCAAAG